rnacentral:rRNA from 1 species
UAAUACGUGAGUAACCUGCCCUUGACUCUGGGAUAAGCCUGGGAAACUGGGUCUAAUACUGGAUACUACCUCUUACCGCAUGGNGGGUGGNGGAAAGGGUUUUACUGGUUUUGGAUGGGCUCACGGCCUAUCAGCUUGUUGGNGGGGUAAUGGCUCACCAAGGCGACGACGGGUAGCCGGCCUGAGAGGGUGACCGGCCACACUGGGACUGAGACACGGCCCAGACUCCUACGGGAGGCAGCAGUGGGGAAUAUUGCACAAUGGGCGGAAGCCUGAUGCAGCGACGCCGCGUGAGGGAUGACGGCCUUCGGGUUGUAAACCUCUUUCAGUAGGGAAGAAGCGAGAGUGACGGUACCUGCAGAAGAAGCGCCGGCUAACUACGUGCCAGCAGCCGCGGUAAUACGUAGGGCGCAAGCGUUGUCCGGAAUUAUUGGGCGUAAAGAGCUCGUAGGCGGUUUGUCGCGUCUGCUGUGAAAGCCCGGGGCUCAACCCCGGGUCUGCAGUGGGUACGGGCAGACUAGAGUGCAGUAG